rnacentral:rRNA from 1 species
UCUGAAUAGCUUAGCUGAUCGCAUGGUCUUGCACCGGCGACGUGUCUAUCAAGUGUCUGCCUUAUCAACUUUCGAUGGUAGUUUAAAUGCCUACCAUGGUUGUUACGGGUAACGGAGAAUAAGGGUUCGACUCCGGAGAGGGAGCCUUAAAAACGGCUACCACAUCCAAGGAAGGCAGCAGGCGCGCAAAUUACCCACUCUCAGCAUGAGGAGGUAGUGACGAAAAAUAACAAGACCGUUCUCUAUGAGGCCGGUUAUUGGAAUGAGUACAAUUUAAAUCCGUUAACGAGGAUCUAUGAGAGGGCAAGUCUGGUGCCAGCAGCCGCGGUAAUUCCAGCUCUCAAAGUGUAUAUCGUCAUUGCUGCGGUUAAAAAGCUCGUAGUUUGAUAUGCGCUACAGGAUUCGGUCCGCCCAUUGGGCGUGAACUGAACUCCUGGGCUAGUAUUGUUGGUUUUCCUUACGUUACCUUAAUCGGUUGCGUAAGGUGACUAACGAGUUUACUUUGAAAAAAUUAGAGUGCUUAACGCGGGCUUAUGCCUGAAUAUUCGUGCAUGGAAUAAUGGAAUAGGAUCUCGGUUCUAUUUUGUUGGUUUUCUGAUCUGAGAU